rfam:Oryza punctata chromosome 1, whole genome shotgun sequence.
UUUAAGAGAAAUCAUAAAUUUUCCAUGUCUAACUUUGAUCGUUCAUCUUAUUUGAAAUUUAUUAUGAUUAGUAUUUUUGUUGUUAUUAGAUGAUAAAACAUGAAUAGAACUUUAUGUGUGACUUAUCUUAUGUUUUUUAAUUUUUUUAAAAAAAUUUAAAUAUGACGGACGAUUAAAGUUAGACACGAAAACUCAUGGUUACACUUAAA